AAAGUCGGAAUGGGUGUGUAAAGAUUUCUGACAGGAAGAGGGAAACAAGCAACCCUCGUUCGGUGCGGGUAAUCAUUCCAACGGUUCCGCAUUGAUGCCGCUGCU
rnacentral:ncRNA from 2 species